rnacentral:piRNA from 1 species
CAGGGACAGGACUCACCACGUGAAGC